rnacentral:rRNA from 1 species
GACGAACGCUGGCGGCGUGCUUAACACAUGCAAGUCGAACGGAAAGGCCCUGCUUUUGUGGGGUGCUCGAGUGGCGAACGGGUGAGUAACACGUGAGUAACCUGCCCUUGUCUUUGGGAUAACUUCAGGAAACUGGGGCUAAUACCGGAUAGGAGCUCCUGCUGCAUGGUGGGGGUUGGAAAGUUUCGGCGGUUGGGGAUGGACUCGCGGCUUAUCAGCUUGUUGGUGGGGUAGUGGUUUACCAAGGCUUUGACGGGUAGCCGGCCUGAGAGGGUGACCGGCCACAUGGGGACUGAGAUAGGGCCCAGACUCGUACGGGAGGCAGCAGUGGGGAAUAUUGCACAAUGGGCGGAAGCCUGAGGCAGAAACGCCGCGUGCGGGAUGACGGCCUUCGGGUUGUAAACCGCUUUCGCCUGUGACGAAGCGGGAGUGACGGUAAUGGGUAAAGAAGCACCGGCUAACUACGUG